rnacentral:tRNA from 1 species
AGCAGCGUGGCCUAGUGAAAAGGGCAUGGGACUGGGAAUCAAAAGGACCUGGAUUUUAAUCCCGGCUCUGCUA